rnacentral:tRNA from 1 species
GGGCGGGUAGCUUAGCCUGGUUGGAGCAAUCGACUGAUAAUCGAUAGGUCCUGGGUUCAAAUCCCAGCCUGCCCA